CAUGUCUCGAAUUUGAUGUCUUCAAACAUUGUCCAGACAUUGGGAACCAUGCUUGACACAGUUGACUUCUGAUGUUCGUGUCUCGAAGGUCUGCAAAAACUGUGUUUGAAGUCGUGAAAUAGGAACCUGUUUUUUGCUCUCUUUUUUUCCUGAAUGUAACCAGUACCUUCAUUUCAACUCUGUGAUAGCAGCUGUCUUCUGAUGUUCGUGUCUCGAAAAUCUGCAAAAAUUGUGUUUGAAGUCAUGAAAUAGGAACAUGUUUUUUGCGCUCUAUUUUUUCCUGAAUGUGACCAGUACCUUCAUUUCAACUCUGUGAUAGCAGCUGUUAUUCUAUAUGUUUAUGUUAUCUUAAGAUGAGUUCUGACUUACUGUGAUCAUCUUCCACUGAACCAUUUUCCAAAUUCAGUGCCUCCCAGCAGUGGGGGCGCUUUAAAAAU
rnacentral:lncRNA from 1 species